UUCAGCUGUGGUCUGUUGAGAGUCUUUCUGAAGAAUGGCUAAAAAGCAAAGGUCAUGAUGACAUAGCGGGCUUAAUAAAGAUGCAGACUUGGCAAGGAUACUAAAUCCUUGUGCAAGGAGUUGUAUAAACAACAGGAUGUGAGUCCAGAUAAGUAAGUUGAAAGAAACCAUAUGGAAGAGAAAAUAAGACCGCUACGUUUGCAGAUCUCAUAGAAUAGCUCCCAUCAAUAAGGAGCUCAGCUUUUGCAAUAUGUAUGAGCUAAUUAGUAGUACUAUAAGUAUGUGUAGAUUAUUACAAUAAACGAGACUUGCUGACCACAA